rnacentral:rRNA from 1 species
GGAAUGGGGAUUGCGUUCCGAUUAAGGUGUCGCGGGUUAACGGGCCCAACCGAGCCUUCGAAUCGGUAGGGGUCUGAGAAGGAAGGUCCCCCACACUGGAACUGAGACACGGUCCAGACUCCUAACGGGAGGCAGCAGUGAGGAAUAUUGGUCAAUGGGCGAGAGCCUGAACCAGCCAAGUAGCGUGAGGGAAGACUGCCCUAUGGGUUGUAAACCUCUUUAGUCUGGGAAUAAAGUGGCGACGUGUCGCCUUUUGUAGGUACCAGAAGAAUAAGGACCGGCUAAUUCCGUGCCAGCAGCCGCGGUAAUACGGAAGGUCCGGGCGUUAUCCGGAUUUAUUGGGUUUAAAGGGAGCGCAGGCGGCCUGUUAAGCGGGCAGUUAAAGGCGGUGGCUCAACCGUCGUUAGCUGUCCGAACUGAUAGGCUUGAGUACGUGCGAGGUAUGCGGAAUUCGUGGUGUAGCGGUGAAAUGCUUAGAUAUCACGAAGAACCCCGAUUGCGAAGGCAGCAUACCAGUGCGCCACUGACGCUAAAGCUCGAAAGCGCGGGUAUCGAACAGGAUUAGAUACCCUGGUAGUCCGCGCGGUAAACGAUGGAUGCCCGCUGUGCGGCCUUUUAUGGUUGCGCGGCCAAGCGAAAGCGUUAAGCAUCCCACCUGGGGAGUACGCCGGCAACGGUGAAACUCAAAGGAAUUGACGGGGGCCCGCACAAGCGGAGGAACAUGUGGUUUAAUUCGAUGAUACGCGAGGAACCUUACCCGGGCUUGAAUUGCAGCUGCAUGGGGCAGAGAUGUCCCUUCCCUUCGGGGCUGCUGUGAAGGUGCUGCAUGGUUGUCGUCAGCUCGUGCCGUGAGGUGUCGGCUUAAGUGCCAUAACGAGCGCAACCCCCCUCCCCGGUUGCCAUCGGGUAAUGCCGGGCACUCCGAGGACACUGCCACCGCAAGGUGUGAGGAAGGUGGGGAUGACGUCAAAUCAGCACGGCCCUUACGUCCGGGGCUACACACGUGUUACAAUGGCAGGCACAGAGAGCUGGCGCGUCGCAAGACGCGUCGAAUCCUAAAAUCCUGCCUCAGUUCGGACUGGGGUCUGCAACCCGACCCCACGAAGCUGGAUUCGCUAGUAAUCGCGCAUCAGCCAUGGCGCGGUGAAUACGUUCCCGGGCCUUGUACACACCGCCCAUCAAGCCAUGAAAGCCGGGGGCGCCUGAAGUCCGUGACCGCAAG